AGUCGUGGGGCAGCAUGGGGUAGCAAUACUCUGAUGGCGACCGGCAAACGGGUGAGGAACAUGUACGCAACCUUCCUUUAACUGGAGAAUAGCCCCUCGAAAGAGGGAUUAAUACUCCGUAACAUAUUUUUAAGACAUCUUAUUAAUAUUAUAGCUCCGGCGGUUAAAGAUGGGCGUGCACCUGAUUAGAUAGUUGGCGGGGUAACGGCCCACCAAGUCUGCGAUCAGUAACUGGUGUGAGAGCACGACCAGUCACACGGGCACUGAGACACGGGUCCGACUCCUACGGGAGGCAGCAGUAAGGAAUAUUGGUCAAUGGACGCAAGUCUGAACCAGCCAUGCCGCGUGGAGGAUUAAGGCCCUCUGGGUUGUAAACUCCUUUUAUCUGGGAAGAAAUGUACUUUUUCUUGAGUACUUGACGGUACCAGAGGAAUAAGCACCGGCUAACUCCGUGCCAGCAGCCGCGGUAAUACGGAGGGUGCAAGCGUUAUCCGGAUUCACUGGGUUUAAAGGGUGCGUAGGUGGGCAGGUAAGUCAGUGGUGAAAUCUCCGGGCUUAACCCGGAAACUGCCGUUGAUACUAUUUGUCUUGAAUAUUGUGGAGGUAAGCGGAAUAUGUCAUGUAGCGGUGAAAUGCUUAGAUAUGACAUAGAACACCAAUUGCGAAGGCAGCUUACUACACAAUGAUUGACACUGAGGCACGAAAGCGUGGGGAUCAAACAGGAUUAGAUACCUUGGUAGUCCACGCCCUANACGAUGAUUACUCGACAUACG
rnacentral:rRNA from 1 species